rnacentral:rRNA from 1 species
GACGAACGCUGGCGGCGUGCUUAACACAUGCAAGUCGAACGGAAAGGCCCUGCUUUUGUGGGGUGCUCGAGUGGCGAACGGGUGAGUAACACGUGAGUAACCUGCCCUUGACUUUGGGAUAACUUCAGGAAACUGGGGCUAAUACCGGAUAGGAGCUCCUGCUGCAUGGUGGGGGUUGGAAAGUUUCGGCGGUUGGGGUUGGACUCGCGGCUUACCAGCUUGUUGGUGGGGUAGUGGCUUACCAAGGCUUUGACGGGUAGCCGGCCUGAGAGGGUGACCGGCCACAUUGGGACUGAGAUACGGCCCAGACUCCUACGGGAGGCAGCAGUGGGGAAUAUUGCACAACGGGCGGAAGCCUGAUGCAGCAACGCCGCGUGCGGGAUGACGGCCUUCGGGUUGUAAACCGCUUUCGCCUGUGACGAAGCGUGAGUGACGGUAAUGGGUAAAGAAGCACCGGCUAACUACGUG